UACCUCCUGACCAGAUUUGCAGGGAUGGAAUUAGAAGGGCGAGUGUUGAGGAGGUGAGAAGCAAGUUGAAGCCGAGACAUCGCAAGAAGGGAGAAGACAGCAUGCUCUUUUUGAGGCGUCGUGAGAUUGUUGACUCACAGAGGAUGUGGUGAGAUGUGUCAAGAGUGAGGUUAACCGGUGACCUGUGUCCAGACCGCACAAGGACUGCCUAAGUGAAGGACAGCAGGAAGCACAGAGGUUUUCCCUGGGGGUGAGGAGGUAUCAUGAUGCUGGAUAUGCUCUAGAAGAAUCGGUCCCACUGGCCUCUUGAGAAUGGGUUGGCGGAGCAAGACCAGACCAGGUUGUGAUUACCCAGGUGCUUGGUUCCUGGUUGGUGAUCUGCCCAGCGAGUCCAGCAGCUUCCUAAGGACAGGAACUGACCCCAGCAUGGUGCUGGAGUUCAC